AUGCCCGAGCUGUCAUGUAUUGUCAGGGAGAAAGCAGACAGUGGAGACCGUGAGAAAAGCAACCCGUGAGAGGAGCCAGACGAGAAACAGGGACGGCUAGACAAUAGGGGUACACAUUUCUAAUUAAGAUUCUUUGUGUCAGCUGACUCACAUAUAUAUAUACAUGCUUCCUGGUGUGGGGCAUUUUGGGAUGUUUUGUUAAGGUUAUGACAUACAGACCUCGUUCAAAGCAUCUGCCUUGUCUUCAAGAGGUUGCCAUGGAGAUGACUUUGCUGUAAUGGACCCCAGAAAAUGAGCGCAGCCCUUCCGUCGGCUUUGUUCAACCUGUGUUGACUUCCCAAACCCGCCUAGCCAAACUACACUUAGCUGGAAUGGAUGAAUGUGGCAGAGGAAACUCACUAGAGCAGCAUCUAUGAACAGCAUGAGCAUCGGUGAGCAAUUCUGGAGCGAUGAGGACUCGGAUGGCAACAGCGAUGGUGAGGAUUUCUUCUACGGUGCUCAGG